AUUCCAGCUCCAAUAGCGUAUAUUAAAGUUGUUGCAGUUAAAAAGCUCGUAGUUGGAUUUGUGGUGUACUUCGGCGGCCCGUCACUAUGUGAUGGAGCUUGCUGAAGUCGCCAUCCUUGGGUGGAUCCUGUGUGGCAUUAAGUUGUCGUGCAGGGGAUGCCCAUCGUUUACUGUGAAAAAAUUAGAGUGUUCAAAGCAGGCUUAUGCCGUUGAAUAUAUUAGCAUGGAAUAAUAAGAUAGGACCUUGGUACUAUUUUGUUGGUUUGCGCACCAAGGUAAUGAUUAAUAGGGACAGUUGGGGGUAUUCGUAUUUCAUUGUCAGAGGUGAAAUUCUUGGAUUUUUGAAAGACGAACUACUGCGAAAGCAUUUACCAAGGAUGUUUUCAUUA
rnacentral:rRNA from 1 species